GGUUGGUGAGGUAACGGCUCACCAAGGCGACGAUCCCUAGCUGGUCUGAGAGGAUGACCAGCCACACUGGAACUGAGACACGGUCCAGACUCCUACGGGAGGCAGCAGUGGGGAAUAUUGCACAAUGGGCGCAAGCCUGAUGCAGCCAUGCCGCGUGUAUGAAGAAGGCCUUCGGGUUGUAAAGUACUUUCAGCGGGGAGGAAGGUGUUGUGGUUAAUAACCGCAGCAAUUGACGUUACCCGCAGAAGAAGCACCGGCUAACUCCGUGCCAGCAGCCGCGGUAAUACGGAGGGUGCAAGCGUUAAUCGGAAUUACUGGGCGUAAAGCGCACGCAGGCGGUCUGUCAAGUCGGAUGUGAAAUCCCCGGGCUCAACCUGGGAACUGCAUUCGAAACUGGCAGGCUUGAGUCUUGUAGAGGGGGGUAGAAUUCCAGGUGUAGCGGUGAAAUGCGUAGAGAUCUGGAGGAAUACCGGUGGCGAAGGCGGCCCCCUGGACAAAGACUGACGCUCAGGUGCGAAAGCGUGGGGAGCAAACAGGAUUAGAUACCCUGGUAGUCCACGCCGUAAACGAUGUCUACUUGGAGGUUGUGCCCUUGAGGCGUGGCUUCCGGAGCUAACGCGUUAAGUAGACCGCCUGGGGAGUACGGCCGCAAGGUUAAAACUCAAAUGAAUUGACGGGGGCCCGCACAAGCGGUGGAGCAUGUGGUUUAAUUCGAUGCAACGCGAAGAACCUUACCUGGUCUUGACAUCCACAGAAACUCGACUCCCAUGAAGUCGGAAUCGCUAGUAAUCGUGGAUCAGAAUGCCACGGUGAAUACGUUCCCGGGCCUUGUACACACCGCCCGUCACACCAUGGGAGUGGGUUGCAAAAGAAGUAGGUAGCUUAACCUUCGGGAGGGCGCUUACCACUUUGUGAUUCAUGACUGGGGUGAAGUCGUAACAAGGUAACCGUAGGGGAACCUGCGGUUGGAUCACCUCCUUACCUUAAAGA
rnacentral:rRNA from 1 species